rnacentral:rRNA from 1 species
GACGAACGCUGGCGGCGUGCUUAACACAUGCAAGUCGAACGAUGAACCGGUUUCGGCCGCGGAUUAGUGGCGCACGGGUGAGUAACACGUGGGCAAUCUGCCCUGCACUCUGGGAUAAGCCCGGGAAACUGGGUCUAAUACCGGAUACGACACUCCGAGGCAUCUUGGGGUGUGGAAAGUUCCGGCGGUGCAGGAUGAGCCCGCGGCCUAUCAGCUUGUUGGUGGGGUAAUGGCCUACCAAGGCGACGACGGGUAGCCGGCCUGAGAGGGUGACCGGCCACACUGGGACUGAGACACGGCCCAGACUCCUACGGGAGGCAGCAGUGGGGAAUAUUGCACAAUGGGCGAAAGCCUGAUGCAGCGACGCCGCGUGAGGGAUGACGGCCUUCGGGUUGUAAACCUCUUUCAGCAGGGAAGAAGCGAAAGUGACGGUACCUGCAGAAGAAGCACCGGCUAACUACGUG